UACAGAGGUCUCAAGCGUUGUUCGGAUUCAUUGGGCGUAAAGGGUGUGUAGGUGGCGCGCUAAGUCGGGGUGUGAAAUUUCGGAGCUUAACUCCGAAACUGCAUUCGAUACUGGCGUGCUUGAGGACUGGAGAGGAGACUGGAAUUUACGGUGUAGCAGUGAAAUGCGUAGAUAUCGAUAAGGAAGACCAGUGGCAAAGGCGGGUCGUCUGGACAGUUCCUGACACUGAGACACGAAGGCCAGGGGAGCAAACGGG
rnacentral:rRNA from 1 species